rnacentral:lncRNA from 1 species
UGCAUUCAUCCAUAUAGGUGAUCGGAUCCUCAUCAUUCUCAUCGAGUUCGAUGGGAUCACCAUCUCGGACUAAGAAACCAUAGUAUCUGUUCAGCUGAUGCGAUACUCCACCGGAUUGCCUUAAUGGUGCAGGUAUAUUGGGCUCCAGAUCUGAUCUAAUCAAAUCUGACUCAGGUUCAGCUAUUGGUGUCGGUCUUUCUACUUGUUGAACUUCAUCAAGUUCAACCUUAGAGGCAACGGUUCCUUCACCAAGGAACUUCUUUUUUAAAAAGGUUGACUUAAGGUUGACGAACACCUUUUAUUCAUCGACAUGGUAGAAAAAAUAUCC